CAUGGCGACUGCCCAGGUCAGGAGAAGGUGACUGAUGCAGGACUGCAAGAGAAGAGAGAGACGGCGGGUUCAGCGAGCCGGACUUCGCCGCCGCGGCGCCCAGACAGCCCCCCGGGCGCCGCCGCAACCCGCCCUCUCCGCAGCUCCCGGGACAGCCCUCCGCCGAGCGUCCGCGCCACCCCGGCGCCCCCGCUGCCCUCGGCGGGCUAGGCGAGCGCUCACUCACCCAGACCCGAACCUCCGGGAGAGCGGCGGCGCAGAGAGCGGGAAGAGACGCGGGCGGAGAACGCUCCAGGCAGCUGCUUUCUGCGGGUUCCAGGCAACGGAAACGGCAUCGGCCCCGCCCCGCCCCCGCCGGCCCAUCCCUGCGCGCCUCCGACACGCCCCUGCCCGGGCUUCAGUGCGCCUGCGUGGAGCCCGGCCAGUCCGAGUCCUUGCAUCCUGGGUGGGGCGCUGCUCCCUGAGGGCCCCGGGGACAGCCUAGCCUUCGCGCAUUGGGAGGGCGUGGGGAGUUGUCCAGGACUCCGUGUUUGGGAUCGCUGGGGCCUCCCUCCCGUCCGUGGCCGCAGGAACGCGGGCCUCACCCGAUGCUCGGACUUAACGGUGCAGGGGCAUGAAGACCAGACAGUCUCUGCGGGCAAGGACAGUGCGUCUUUGACCACGGUUUAGAAUUCCCAAGUUUAUUUUUAAGUUUGUUUAAAAAAAAGAAGUGUCAAUCGUUGCUUCCUAGAUGGCCUUCUCUUAAAUGUAUAUAUAGAUCGUUGGUGACUUACUUGGGAAAUUUAAAAACCUCCACCUGGGGUCGGCUCCUAUUUUCAGAACCAGCCUAGAACUUUCAAACAACUUAAAUUUGAGCCAUUCCCUAUUAUUAGUUAAACGUAAAAUACAUGAGUAUGAGAGAGAGAAAGACAGACGGAGACACAGACACUACAGGAGAUUGUACUAGAUUGGUGCAGAGAACGCAAAGACAGAAAGACAGUGCCCUUCUCAGACUUACUAGCGUGGCGAGAGGGGAGGCACCGGGCGGGCGCCGGGAGGCAAGAGGACAGAAGCCGGCAACCCUAGACGCAGUAAGAUAUUCCAGGAUGAGAAGCGCAAAGUGCUGUGGAGAUUCAAGGUAAGAGGCUCCCACAGUCCCCAUCUGAUGUGGCCAAAGACUCCAGAAGCACCAUUUGGAAUUUAAUUCAAGCCGCCUACGUGGCCUCAUCUCAUCCAUCCCUGAACCUCCCAGGGUGAGAAGGAAAUAAAGCACCCACCCAGGUGGAGGAUGGAAUGAUGAUGUUGACAUUUUCUGACUUCAAUCAAGUAAAGCUUGGACUCCGUCAACCUUUGCCCCAAUUCUACACUGAAUUCUCCUCUGCUCAAGCCCCCUUCAUUAAUUUGCAUGUACCCUUAGCUUAAAACUUCCCCAAUUUUGCUAUCCUGGGAGAUAUCCCAGGAUCUUUGGGAAAGAUCCCCAGUGUUCUCCUUACUUGCUGCAAGUAAUAAUAAAUCUUUCUUUCUCCUGC